rnacentral:rRNA from 1 species
UACGAAGGGGGCUAGCGUUGCUCGGAAUUACUGGGCGUAAAGGGAGCGUAGGCGGACUGUUUAGUCAGAGGUGAAAGCCCAGGGCUCAACCUUGGAAUUGCCUUUGAUACUGGCAGUCUUGAGUACGGGAGAGGUGUGUGGAACUCCGAGUGUAGAGGUGAAAUUCGUAGAUAUUCGGAAGAACACCAGUGGCGAAGGCGACACACUGGCCCGUUACUGACGCUGAGGCUCGAAAGCGUGGGGAGCAAAC